AUGAAUAUUGCUCUCCUAUCCCGCUGGCUCUGGCGCAUCUCGCAAGGGCAUGGUGGCCUCUGGUUAGACAUCAUCCGGAAUAAGUACCUGCGUGGUCAACCCCUUGCCUUCUGCCUGCGUUCGGGCGGCUCCCAAUUCUGGCAGUCGGUUGUCCAACUUCUCCCCGUCCUCUGCAUCAGUACCUCUAUCUCGGUCGGAUCUGGGGCGGCUACGCUGUUUUGGUUUGACCGGUGGGCCAGCGAUGCCCCCUUUGCGGCCCGCUUCCCCGACCUCUUCUCCAUUGCUGUUGAACGCAUGAUCUCAGUUGAGAGGGCCCUUAUUGACAUAGGGCGCCUCGCGUUCCGGAGGCCAUUUGGGCCUCAGGAUACCGCCGCCUGGCAGGAUUUGCUUGAUUGUGUGGCCCUCCAUGAGCCGAGGGUGGACGCUGGCCCGGAUCAAGUGAGUUGGCGCCUCGAGCCUUCUGGCCAAUUCUCCACCAAGUCUUUAUACCAGGCCAUCGCUCCCUCCUCUGCUCCCCCCCCCCUUACGGCGGUGUGGUCCAUCCGCCUCCCGCUGAAAAUUCGGAUCUUCAUGUGGCAAUGGAUUCGCGGUCGGACCCCGUCUGGGGUCGAGGUCCUCAAGCGCAAUGGUCCGAGCUCUGGCUUUUGCCCCCUAUGCGGAGUCCCCGAAGACUCGAAUCACAUCUUCUUCUCCUGUGUGUAA
rnacentral:rRNA from 1 species